rnacentral:lncRNA from 1 species
CUGAUCAAGCCUUCAAAACCUACUAGCAUGCGUGAUCAUUCGCACCUGACAUGGGAAUGGCUGAUGAGACCUCUUCUAGCCCUCAAGCCUGUGUCGAUUAAAUGCUACACAUAGCCCCAGACCAACAACAGGCUGAGGGGACAAGCGACUGCACGGUCUGACAUUAUGGCACGUCAAUUGAUGGCACCUACCAGCCACCCAAAACUGUGAUGAUUGUCCAACCGCCUGCAGGACAAUCAUCAUUAUAGAAGAAAGUCAAAAAGAUUAGUCAGCACUACAGUGACAUUCUCAUCAGCAUUAUAAAAACCUUCCAAAAGCAUGAAUAAAGUACGCAAGAGAUACGCCUACUCACUCUCUCCCAUUAAGAUCGUUUGAACUGUCUUUGUC